AAAUUGAAGAGUUUGAUCAUGGCUCAGAUUGAACGCUGGCGGCAGGCCUAACACAUGCAAGUCGAACGGUAACAGGAAACAGCUUGCUGUUUCGCUGACGAGUGGCGGACGGGUGAGUAAUGUCUGGGAAACUGCCUGAUGGAGGGGGAUAACUACUGGAAACGGUAGCUAAUACCGCAUAACGUCGCAAGACCAAAGAGGGGGACCUUCGGGCCUCUUGCCAUCGGAUGUGCCCAGAUGGGAUUAGCUAGUAGGUGGGGUAACGGCUCACCUAGGCGACGAUCCCUAGCUGGUCUGAGAGGAUGACCAGCCACACUGGAACUGAGACACGGUCCAGACUCCUACGGGAGGCAGCAGUGGGGAAUAUUGCACAAUGGGCGCAAGCCUGAUGCAGCCAUGCCGCGUGUAUGAAGAAGGCCUUCGGGUUGUAAAGUACUUUCAGCGGGGAGGAAGGGAGUAAAGUUAAUACC
rnacentral:rRNA from 1 species